AACAUGUUUGGUGAAAGAAAAAUAAAUCCAAGUAUAAAAACAGAGUCUUCUUUUAUGCACUUGCAGACCUGACAGUAACCAGAUGAUCUCAAAAGACUCAGAUUAUGAAGCAGUUUUAAAAGAAGAAUGGGGAAGAGGAGAACAUUUAGGUAUGGCUUCCAAAAAGCCUUGGCAUAAACUCUGAAAGUCUUGCCCACACCAGCAAUUGCGGAGAGCUACUCAGAAAGCUUUCUUUCCAAGGAGAGAGGAAGAGGGAGAUUUCACACACAGAGAAGAUGAUGUGAAGACAGAAGCAGAGAUUGGAGGGUUGUAACCAAAAGCCAAAGAAUGCUAACGAAUGUUGGCAGCCACCAGGAGCUAGAAGACUCAAGAAACAGAUUCCCCCCAAACCUCUGGAAGGAGCAUAAUCCUGCCCACACUUUGAUUUUGGACUUCUAGACUCUAGAACUGUGAGAGAGUAAAUUUGUGUUAUUUUAAGUCACAAAGGUUGUGGUAAUUUUUUGUAGCAGCCACAGGAAAUUAACACAAUGGGUAAGU